UACAGAGGUCUCAAGCGUUGUUCGGAUUCAUUGGGCGUAAAGGGUGCGUAGGCGGCGCGGUAAGUCGGGUGUGAAAUCUCGGAGCUUAACUCCGAAACUGCAUUCGAUACUGCCGUGCUUGAGGACUGGAGAGGAGACUGGAAUUUACGGUGUAGCGGUGAAAUGCGUAGAUAUCGUAAGGAAGACCAGUGGCGAAGGCGGGUCU
rnacentral:rRNA from 1 species